GGAUGUGAGGGCCAUCUGGCUGCUACAUCUGUCACCCCAUUGAUCGCCAGUGUUGAUUCGGCUGAUCUGGCUGGCUAGGCAGGUGUUCCCUUCCUCCCUCACCACUCCACGUGCAUCCCUUCCGAAAUUGCACGUUCGGUCGAAGAGGACGACCAUCCCCGAAUAGAGGAGGACCGGUCUUCGGUCAAGGGUAUUCAAGUAGCUGUGCUCCCCUGCUAGAACCUCCAAACAAGCUCUCAAAGUGCAUUGUUCAGUUUCCAGGAGCUGAUGGAAUUCUUG
rnacentral:snRNA from 1 species